AUUGAACGCUGGCGGCAUGCCUAACACAUGCAAGUCGAACGGCAGCACAGUCUAGCUUGCUAGACGGGUGGCGAGUGGCGAACGGGUGAGUAACGCGUAGGAAUAUACCUUGAAGUGGGGGACAACCUGGAGAAACUCAGGCUAAUACCGCGUAAUCUCUUCGGAGGGAAGCUGGGGACCGCAAGGCCUGGCGCUUUAAGAUUAGCCUGCGUCCGAUUAGCUAGUUGGUGGGGUAAAGGCCUACCAAGGCGACGAUCGGUAGCCGGUCUGAGAGGAUGAUCAGCCACUGGGACUGAGACACGGCCCAGACUCCUACGGGAGGCAGCAGUGGGGAAUAUUGGACAAUGGGGGGAACCCUGAUCCAGCAAUGCCGCGUGUGUGAAGAAGGCCUGAGGGUUGUAAAGCACUUUCGGCGGGGAGGAGGAUGAGUUGGUUAAGAGCUGACUUAUUGGACGUUACCCGCAUAAGAAGCACCGGCUAACUCCGUGCCAGCCGCCGCCGUAAUAC
rnacentral:rRNA from 1 species